AGGAGAUGAAGCCGGGUGACGCAGACCCAAGAAGCCAGUCUGUAAGCGUCGGCCCCCAUGGCUCCACAAAGGAACGAAUGUGGUGAUGGAUGACUGCUGGGUCACUCUACAACGUGCGGAAAGCCGGAAAGCAGCACCGACGUCGCUCGCACGAGUCCGCCUUAUGACGUUCCCGUUUUUCGAGGAGUGCGAAGGGAUGUUCUCCUUCCUGCUCCGCUUCCAAAUGAAGGAGAAUUGUGGACCGCUUGACGACGUGCACACGUGUGGACGGUGAUGGAGCAGACAAUGGUGGACACUCGUCGUUCCUGAAAAGGACAUUUGUAGGGCAGCUCUACAACGUGCCGACAGCGAGUGGUACGCUGCAAUGAGCGUGGCGACGACUCCGGUGGGCAGUCGACAUUCUCGGAUAGGAUCUUUAAAGGACUACAUGACUGUCUUGAAGAAAGUCACCAGCCCUCAACGACGUGAUGUUCUGAGCUAGGGAGGAAGGCUGGACAUUGUGCUUGAGGCUGCCUCGUGACGUUUGCCGAGGAGCUCGUGAAGGAGAAGGACCGCAAGACGGCUUCCCGACCUUCGAGACAAAUGCCACAUCGCCGAUGAAUGAGUAGUGUCCCUGUGGGCCGCUGUACAACGUGCAUGGAAAUCCACGAUGCGGCGAUGGCGCAGACAUCGGCUGGCAGUUGAAGUUUUCGGAGAGCUUGAGCCUGCGAUGUGACGUUCGUGGAGGCCCUCCUGCAUGUUGACCCCUUACAGCCGUCAUGGCUGUGCUUACUGGGAUGCUUGUUGGGCCGCUCUACAACAUGCAGGAAGAUGCUGUAAUGACGGUGACGGCGACACCGGGGGUUAGCGGGCGUUCUCGGAGACUUCUUUGCAUUGAUAUUUGUG